rnacentral:piRNA from 1 species
UCAGAUGUUGUCGCAGGGCCAGGUUCUGCACA